UACGUAGGUGGCAAGCGUUAUCUGGAAUUAUUGGGCGUAAAGAGCGCGCAGGUGGUUGAUUAAGUCUGAUGUGAAAGCCCACGGCUUAACCGUGGAGGGUCAUUGGAAACUGGUCGACUUGAGUGCAGAAGAGGGAAGUGGAAUUCCAUGUGUAGCGGUGAAAUGCGUAGAGAUAUGGAGGAACACCAGUGGCGAAGGCGGCUUCCUGGUCUGUAACUGACACUGAGGCGCGAAAGCGUAGGGAGCAAACAGGAUUAGA
rnacentral:rRNA from 1 species